AAGAACCUUUCUGUUGAAUAUCCUUGUAGGGAUCGUGGUUGAGAGCUUCAACAAUGAGCACUUCAGCCCAUCAAGUGAAAAUGAAUCUCUCUUUGCAAGUUCCAGUUCAUCACGGUCCAUCCCUGACGAUGACCCAGAAACAGUCAUUCAUAGUGAUCCUACCUCUGAGCUCGGGAGCAUUGAUGCCACAAGCAAUAUAAAUGAGGAAGAUUCUUCAG